ACAGGUUCACUAACGGGGGGCAAGGAAAAAAGGGUUGCCCAUUUUCACUAUCAGUGGAGUUUGAUGGAAAGAGACGUAUAUCUGGAGUUAAUCGCUAUUAUAAAUCAAAGGGUUUGGAGAACAUUGAUUAAGGAAGCAUUUUCCUGACUGAUGAAAAAAAUUCAGUAUGGUCAUCUACCCCUGCUAGAAGGUUAUUUGAUAUAUUAUGUAGCAUGCAGUGUGUUAAGUAAUACAUAAUCAAAAUAAAAUGAAAACCAAAAUAAAAUGAAC
rnacentral:lncRNA from 1 species